AUGGCUGACUGUACCAUCGACGGAUACAUGGUUCUCGCAGGGACGCGUGUCGUCAUCAAUGCAUGGGCCAUUGGGAGGGAUUCAAGCUCAUGGGAGGAUGCUGAAGAGUUCAUGCCUGAAAGAUUUACAGAUGAAGGCAAUGCUAGGAAUGCCAACUUUAAGGGGAAUGAUUUUCAUUUCUUGCCAUUCGGGGCAGGACGAAGGAUAUGCCCUGCUAUAAACCUCGGAAUCGCCUUUGUUGAGCUUAUGUUGGCAAACAUCGUGAACCAUUUUGACUGGGAACUUUCGAUUGGGGUUGAGAGAAAAGAUAUCGAUAUGACAGAGGUGUUUGGGAUAAGCAUUCGUAGGAAGGAGAAACUAUUGUUGAUUCCAAAGUCACGCAUGUAA
rnacentral:rRNA from 1 species